CCCUUAGAUGUUCUGGGCCGCACGCGCGCUACACUGACGAAUGCAACGAGCUUAUAACCUUGGCCGAAAGGUCUGGGUAAUCUCCAAAUUUCGUCGUGAUGGGGAUAGAUUAUUGCAAUUAUUAAUCUUCAACGGGGAAUGCCUAGUAAGCGCAAGUCAUCAGCUUGCGUUGAUUACGUCCCUGCCCUUUGUACACACCGCCCGUCGCUCCUACCGAUUGAAUGGUCCGGUGAAGCGUUCGGACCGUGGCCUUUGGACGGUUCGCCGUCUGUUGGCUGCGGGAAGUUCGUUAAACCUUAUCAUUUAGAGGAAGGAGAANUCGUANCA
rnacentral:rRNA from 1 species